rnacentral:misc_RNA from 1 species
ACAAACUUGGUCAUUUAGAGGAAGUAAAAGUCGUAACAAGGUUUCCGUAGGUGAACCUGCGGAAGGAUCAUUAUCGAUUCAAAACGGAUGUGCUGGCUUUUCUAAAUGGAUUAGCAUGUGCACUCCAAACCUCAUACCCUGUGCACUAUUCCCAUUGGUGAUUUGAAAUAGCUACGAGUCUGCAAAGAUUCAAAGUGAUUCAUUUUGCCUUUGGCUUUUCUAUAAACUUUGUUUUAUAUGAAUGUUAUUAUAGACUUGUAACUCAAGUCAAUAUAAUUAAAAUAACUUUCAACAACGGAUCUCUUGGUUCUCGCAUCGAUGAAGAACGCAGC